GGUUCCCUUUCUGUUUUUAGUUCUGCGUCUAGUUUAUUAAGCUCAUCUGCGAUAUACAAUGUUAAGUUAAUAUCUUCUUCUGUUUUUCUUCACUUAUUGUCUAGUCAGAUGUGAUUAGUUGAUUUGAUUGUUGGAUAUGUUCUUUUUAAUGGAAUGUGCAGGCAAAACAGUCAAGGGAACAUUUGAAUGAAGUUACUCACCAAGUUUACUUUGAUGUUGAAAUUGCAGGAAAACCUGCUGGGGAAAUCUCUCCAGUACAAAGGCAGUACGUUUCAUAGGAUUAUUCCACAUUUUAUGAUACAAGGAGGCGAUUUUACACUCGGUGAUGGUGGAAAUUUGGUGAUGAGAAUUUCAAGGUGAAGCACACUGGGCCUGGUGAGCCAGCUACAUUCCUACUCGUCUUUAACUAGUUUUCAAGGAAUGAUUUGGAACAUCUGUUACAAGCAAAGACUGUUUGUUUCGUUUCGUAUAGGGCUCACAAUUAUUCAUUACAACCGUUACAGCCAGCAGAUGGCAAACAUGUUGUAUUUGGAAAAGUGCUCUCUGGGAUGGAUGUUGUUUACAAAAUUGAAGCUCAAGGAAGGCUGAGCUGUACACCCAAGAACAAAGUUGUUAUUGUUGCAAGUGGUGAAAUCAGUGUUGGCAGGGCCACCACCUGAACGCGCCGCUUCAGGAUCCUUUUGGACGAGGCGCAUUCACGGUGUGCCUUCCUGCGUUCUAUAUAUGGACCAUAGCCAUAGAAACCAAAAACCGCAAUGAAGGGGAUAAUGUCGAAUUGCCUACUUCUCAAUUAUUUGCAUAUUCAAUUAAAAAAAAAAAAAGCAUGGAAUUAUAAAGAUAUCAUGCAUAUUGGUCAACAAAGAAAAUGUUAUCUGUCUGCUUUGGCGACCAUGUAAAAUUUGCCAGGGUCCAAAAAAGUUGGAUGAAUCCAACAGAACAAGAAAAUAUUGUUGGAUGAAUAGGUUAAUCAAGGAUUAUUGUAAGAUAAA